AUUGAACGCUGGCGGCAGGCCUAACACAUGCAAGUCGAGCGGAUGAAGGGAGCUUGCUCCUGGAUUCAGCGGCGGACGGGUGAGUAAUGCCUAGGAAUCUGCCUGGUAGUGGGGGAUAACGUCCGGAAACGGGCGCUAAUACCGCAUACGUCCUGAGGGAGAAAGUGGGGGAUCUUCGGACCUCACGCUAUCAGAUGAGCCUAGGUCGGAUUAGCUAGUUGGUGGGGCAAAGGCCUACCAAGGCGACGAUCCGUAACUGGUCUGAGAGGAUGAUCAGUCACACUGGAACUGAGACACGGUCCAGACUCCUACGGGAGGCAGCAGUGGGGAAUAUUGGACAAUGGGCGGAAGCCUGAUCCAGCCAUGCCGCGUGUGUGAAGAAGGUCUUCGGAUUGUAAAGCACUUUAAGUUGGGAGGAAGGGCAGUAAGUUAAUACCUUGCUGUUUUGACGUUACCAACAGAAUAAGCACCGGCUAACUUCGUG
rnacentral:rRNA from 1 species